rnacentral:rRNA from 1 species
GCUUAUUGCGCGGCGAUAAACCUUACACACUUUGUUUUUAUUAUUAAAGACACCAUUGCUUUGGUGGAUGAGUGUAAAAGCCCAUCCGCCAGAGGUUUAACUAAAACUCAAUUAUAUAAAGGUAACUUUUUAAAAUUGUCAAUUAAAAAUUUGUCUGAUUAAUUUCAGGUGAAACAAAUAUUUAAAACUUUCAACAACGGAUCUCUUGGUUCUCGCAUCGAUGAAGAACGCAGCGAAUUGCGAUAAGUAUUGUGAAUUGCAGAAUUUCGUGAAUCAUCGAAUCUUUGAACGCACAUUGCACCCUGUGGUAUUCCACAGGGUAUGCCUGUUUGAGCGUCAUUUCUCUCUCAAAACUUUUAUUAGUUUUGGUGUUGAGUGAUACUCGGGUUUUAAGCUUGAGUUUGCUUGAAAAGUAUUGGCAAGGGAAGUAAUUCUUGUGAAAGCUAUUUAUUCAAUGUAUUAGGUUUAUCCAACUCGUUGAUUGAUGGUGGGAGCUUGUAUUGCUAUUAGGCCCGGCCUUACAACAAACAAACCAAAGUUUGACCUCAAAUCAGGUAGGAUUACCCGCUGAACUUAAGCAUAUCAAUAAGCGGAGGA